UACGUAGGGUGCUAGCGUUGCUCGGAAUUAUUGGGCGUAAAGCGCGUGUAGGUUGUUUUGUAAGUUGGGUGUGAAAGCCCCGGGCUCAACCCGGGAAGUGCACUCAAAACUGCAUCACUAGAGGACAGUAGAGGAUGGUGGAAUUCCAGGUGUAGAGGUGAAAUUCGUAGAUAUCUGGAGGAAUAUCGGCGGCGAAGGCGGCCAUCUGGGCUGUCCCUGACACUGAGACGAGAAAGCGUGGGUAGCAAACAGG
rnacentral:rRNA from 1 species